AUCUUGCACUAUAUAACCAUCCUCGAGCAUGGGAAUAACAUCAAGUUACCCAAACAAAACAAGUUUAAAAAGAGAAUUUUAUAAAGGGAAAAUGGAAAGUUCAACAGCAACAAAGAAUAUUGUGGUUCUGGUUGAGACACAGAAUUUUGAAGGUGAAGGGGUUAAUUACUUGGCAAACUCUUCUUCAACAACUCCAAACAACGAAAGUAAAACAAAUACGAUAAGCAGCACUAUUAUUGCCUCCCCUUCCACCACUCACCAACAGUUUAAUGUUACUAACCACGUAGAAGUGUACACCCAGACAAAUAUUGAGGAAUACAAGCUUCAAGCUCCACAUCCGCCCCCACCUCCACCUAUUAAACCAGGAAACGGUGGCGUCCACAACUAGGAGUACGAUACUCUUGCUGAGCUUCCUAUCUAGCAAUAUGUCAAGUUUGACAGUAUAAAAGUAACUCUUGGAGUCUUGGUUGAUUAUUAUGUUUUUUUUUUUUUUUGUAUUUACAGAGCUAUAGGGGUAAAUAAUGAGAAUCAAUUUCAAUAUCUCCUGAAAUAGGGAGGAAAGAAA